rnacentral:rRNA from 1 species
UACGUAGGGGGCAAGCGUUGUCCGGAUUUAUUGGGCGUAAAGAGCGUGUAGGCGGCUUUACAGGUCCGUUGUGAAAACUCGAGGCUCAACCUCGAGACGCCGGUGGAAACCGUAAAGCUAGAGUCCGGAAGAGGAGAGUGGAAUUCCUGGUGUAGCGGUGAAAUGCGCAGAUAUCAGGAGGAACACCCGUGGCGAAAGCGGCUCUCUGGGACGGUACUGACGCUGAGACGCGCAAGCGUGGGGAGCAAACAGG